rnacentral:rRNA from 1 species
UGCGAGUCGACACAGCAAUGUGUGGCAUACGGCUCAGUAACACGUAGUCAACAUGCCCAGGGGACGUGGAUAACCUCGGGAAACUGAGGAUAAACCGCGAUAGGUCACUACUUCUGGAAUGGGUAAUGACCCAAACCUAUAUGGCCCCUGGAUUGGACUGCGGCCGAUCAGGCUGUUGGUGAGGUAAUGGCCCACCAAACCUGUAACCGGUACGGGCUCUGAGAGGAGGAGCCCGGAGAUGGGCACUGAGACAAGGGCCCAGGCCCUAUGGGGCGCAGCAGGCGCGAAACCUCUGCAAUAGGCGAAAGCUUGACAGGGUUACUCUGAGUGAUUUCCGUUAAGGAGAUCUUUUGGCACCUCUAAAAAUGGUGCAGAAUAAGGGGUGGGCAAGUCUGGUGUCAGCCGCCGCGGUAAUACCAGCACCCCGAGUGGUCGGGACGUUUAUUGGGCCUAAAGCAUCCGUAGCCGGUUCUACAAGUCUUCCGUUAAAUCCACCUGCUCAACAGAUGGGCUGCGGAAGAUACUAUGGAGCUAGGAGGCGGGAGAGGCAAGCGGUACUCGAUGGGUAGGGGUAAAAUCCGUUGAUCCAUUGAAGACCACCAGUGGCGAAGGCGGCUUGCCAGAACGCGCUCGACGGUGAGGGAUGAAAGCUGGGGGAGCAAACCGGAUUAGAUACCCGGGUAGUCCCAGCUGUAAACGAUGCAGACUCGGUGAUGAGUUGGCUUUAUGCCAACUCAGUGCCGCAGGGAAGCCGUUAAGUUUGCCGCCUGGGGAGUACGGUCGCAAGACUGAAACUUAA